rnacentral:rRNA from 1 species
UACGUAGGAGACGAGCGUUGUCCGGAAUUACUGGGCGUAAAGCGCGUGUAGGCGGAUGAGCAAGUCUGCUGUGAAAGCUCCUGGCUUAACCGGGAGUGGUCGGUGGAAACUGCUCGUCUGGAGGACGGUAGAGGUAGGUAGAAUUCCCGGUGUAGUGGUGAAAUGCGUAGAUAUCUGGAGGAAUACCGGUGGCGAAGGCGGCAUCCUGGACCGAGAUUGACACUGAUGAGCGAAAGCUAGGGGAGCAAACGGG